rnacentral:pre_miRNA from 1 species
AAGCACUAGCCGUUGAAGCUGCCAGCAUGAUCUAAACUUUCUUUCAGUUGCAAAUAUUAUCUGACGAAAGAUCAGAUCAUGUGGCAGCAUCACCUGUUGAUGCU